rnacentral:sRNA from 2 species
AGUGAUGAGCCCAGCUCACUAGAUUAGAUGAAGAAG